UAGGGAAUCUUCGGCAAUGGACGAAAGUCUGACCGAGCAACGCCGCGUGAGUGAAGAAGGUUUUCGGAUCGUAAAACUCUGUUGUUAGAGAAGAACAAGGACGUUAGUAACUGAACGUCCCCUGACGGUAUCUAACCAGAAAGCCACGGCUAACUACGUGCCAGCAGCCGCGGUAAUACGUAGGUGGCAAGCGUUGUCCGGAUUUAUUGGGCGUAAAGCGAGCGCAGGCGGUUUCUUAAGUCUGAUGUGAAAGCCCCCGGCUCAACCGGGGAGGGUCAUUGGAAACUGGGAGACUUAAGUGCAGAAGAGGAGAGUGGAAUUCCAUGUGUAGCGGUGAAAUGCGUAGAUAUAUGGAGGAACACCAGUGGCGAAGGCGGCUAUCUGGUCUGUAACUGACGCUGAGGCUCGAGAGCGUGGGGAGCAAACAGG
rnacentral:rRNA from 1 species